UUUUAAUAGUUUAAUAAAAACAUUGGUCUUGUAAAUCAAAAAUAAAAUAAUAUUUUUUAAAACU
rnacentral:tRNA from 1 species